CCUACGGGUGGCAGCAGUAGGGAAUAUUGGUCAAUGGGGGAAACCCUGAAGCAGCAACGCCGCGUGGAGGAUGACGGUUUUAUGAUUUUAAACUCCUUUUUUUAGAGAAGAUUAUGACGGUAUCUAACGAAUAAGCACCGGCUAACUCCGUGCCAGCAGCCGCGGUAAUUCGGCGGGUGCCCGCGUUACUCGGAAUCACUGGGCGUAAAGAGUGGGUAGGCGGGGUAAUAAGUCAGAUGGGAAAUCCUGUAGCUUAACUACAGAACUGCAGUUGAAACUGUUACUCUUGAGUGUGGGAGAGGUAGGCGGAAUGCGUGGUGUAGGGGUAAAAUCCGUAGAGAUCAAGAGGAAUACUCAUUGCGAAGGCGACCUGCUGGAACAUUACUGACGCUGAUGCACGAAAGCGUGGGUAGCGAACAGGAUUAGAUACCCCUGUAGUC
rnacentral:rRNA from 1 species